UACGAAGGGGGCUAGCGUUGUUCGGAAUCACUGGGCGUAAAGGGUGCGUAGGCGGGAUCUUAAGUCAGGGGUGAAAUCCCGAGGCUCAACCUCGGAACUGCCUUUGAUACUGGGGUCCUUGAGUCCGGAAGAGGUGAGUGGAACUGCGAGUGUAGAGGUGAAAUUCGUAGAUAUUCGCAAGAACACCGGUGGCGAAGGCGGCUCACUGGUCCGGAACUGACGCUGAGGCACGACAGCGUGGGGAGCAAACAGG
rnacentral:rRNA from 2 species